GACGAACGCUGGCGGCGUGCUUAACACAUGCAAGUCGAGCGGUAAGGCCCUUUCGGGGGUACGACGAGCGGCGAACGGGUGAGUAACACGUGGGUGACCUGCCCUCAGCUCUGGGAUAAGCCUGGGAAACCGGGUCUAAUACCGGAUAUGACUCCAUGACGCAUGUUGUGGGGUGGAAAGCCUUGUGCGGCUGAGGAUGGGCCCGCGGCCUAUCAGCUUGUUGGUGGGGUGAUGGCCUACCAAGGCGACGACGGGUAGCCGGCCUGAGAGGGCGACCGGCCACACUGGGACUGAGACACGGCCCAGACUCCUACGGGAGGCAGCAGUGGGGAAUCUUGCGCAAUGGGCGAAAGCCUGACGCAGCCAUGCCGCGUGAAUGAUGAAGGUCUUAGGAUUGUAAAGUUCUUUUGCCCGUGACGAUGAUGACGGUAACGGGAGAAUAAGCCCGGCUAACUUCGUG
rnacentral:rRNA from 1 species